GAUGAGGGCAUCCAGGAUACCAAUGAUAGCCAGGAUGUAGGCCCAGCGCACCGAGCAGUUGCCAAGGGUGUACUUCGCUGUGUCCUCUCCGCACAUGUCCCGUAUCACCUCGGAGUCCCAGCCAUUCGGGAAGAUCAUACAGCCGAGUACCAAACACACAGCUGGAGGGGAAAAGGAGUGGAUGAGAGUUGCCUGAACAGUCCUCUGGUGUGUAGAGGUUCCAGCUGAGGCCAGGCUGGCCCUAACAGAUGGGUCCCUGAAUGCCUCAUUUACUCGACCACUGCUCCUGUGGAACGCCGUGCACAGAAUAGAUGACAUUCAGCUGAUGUACAGGCUCAGGACAUACAGGACUUAAGAUUUUGUGGAGAGGAGGAAAUCUCCAGUCUCUGAAAGUGAUGGGAUCUGAGGAGCUGAGUAUUUACAUGCAGUUUAAUGCAAAAGUGGACAGAGAUGUCUGUACUCUGUCAUUAAUGCACUGACGUGGUAGAGGUGAACACCAUUAUUCUUUAUUAUUUAUCAGAAUACCUACGAGCGCAUAAUUACGGUUGUAUCAAGGUGAGAUAAAUUGGAAGUGUGUCCCUGCCAUGUUCAUCCUUGUUUAGUGUCUCCUGGAAACAGUUUCUGUUGUUGUCUGUGCUACUUGCAUCAUGUCUGUAUUACUGUAAGCUGUUUUCUGUUUUUGCAACAUGUUUUUGGUUGUUUUCUCACUUUGCAGAAUUUGUCUGGGGAAGAUGCUUUCUUAAUUUGCUUGUGUUUUGUCUAUUUGCAUGUGUUUGCGUGCCUAUUAUCAAGUUGCAGUGCAUUGUGCUCUCAGGGCCACUGUAGCUAUUUCUGCUAAUGAUUCAAGUCAAAAUUGCUUAAAUAUAAAUAGCCUUUUGUUUCUAGGAUACAUAUUACACUCUGUUUUGAGAAUAUUAUUUCUGAUAGAUAAAGUCCAGUGAAAUUGAUUAACUUCAAUUUGUAAUGACUGUGACAUAUUGAUCACAAGAAAGAUAAUAUAUAGAUUAUUACUCUUAAAGAAUGGCUAAUGUGUGACAACUUUGGAAAGCAGUGAUUUAAAGCUACAUUAAUUCAUUUCUUGGUGUCAGACAACAUUAUCAUUCAUUUGAAUUGUGAUGGAAGUAUGAUUUCUACUCUUCUUUAGCUCUGCUUUGGUCUCCUCCAACUUCUUUGCUUUUAAAUAGUCCACUAUGUUAACCGACAAGACACUUUGUCUGCUGUAUGGUAUGCCUUGCAGCAGACAAGUGGCCAGGCAGGUAGUUUACAAUGUGAUUAUCAGAGCUUUUUACACUAAAAAACAGCUGACUGGAAACAGGUUAUGUUAUGGGAAAUGAGACAUAUAGAUUCUUCUCUAUCUUAAAAUGGCUUUGCAUUCAUAAGCAGCAUUGCACUUUCUACCAAACAGGAAGUAACGGAGGCACGAUGGAAAAACGGACUAGAGAGCAGGCACACAGCCACAACAGGUUUAAUGCGGUGUGAAGAGUUUGUGUGUUCCCUGUGGGUCUCCUUCAGUCCUGCCUGGCUGACAGAAGUGAACAAGACUCAUUCUUAGUAAUUCAACAAGCCUUUAAAUCUGUGUCAAGGAUGCUGGGAAGGUUAAACUUGUCAACACUUCCCCCUACAUGUGUUUGUGUGUACAUACUGUAUGUGUGGAUGUGCUCAUGUAUGUUAGAAAGGAUGAAUUUAGGAUUGUCUGGCUGGCUUUGUAGAUCAGCUGGCUGUUGAUUGGCUGAUUUUGUAUACCAGCACUGACUUGAUCCAAUUUUUGAGGCACGAUAUCUUGAAGUAGUAGCCUAGCCAGUCGAUCGGCUAUCUCGUCACACAUUGUGGAAUUUAUUUUCGCCCCCUCUCCUUCAAGGGACUUGACCUAAGGAGAGGUGACCCCUGCUAUAAAGGCUAUCACUAAAAUCCACUACGGUCUCAUGUUUAAUUUACCUGUAUUUCUAUAAAUGGAUCACUCAAUUUGAAAGUGAAGUAUUGAUGUUUAAAUAGCCUACAUUACAUAUAUAAUUAAAGAAACCCAGUCAACACUGCUACAUUUGCUGAAUUAUGUUUUUAUUGAUUAAUUAUGUUAUUAUGCCAUUUUUACACAUAAGGUUUCUGAUUGGGUUAUUACAACACGUACACAUAAGAAAGA